UGCAAGUCGAACGCGCAGCAUUCUGUAGCAAUACAGGGUGUGGGCGCGUGGCGAACGGGUGCGUAACACGUGGAUAACCUUCCUUGAGGUGGGGAAUAACCCAGUGAAAAUUGGGCUAAUACCGCAUAACAUCGCGAUGGCACAUGCUGAUGCGAUCAAAGGCGCAAGUCGCCACAAGAGGGAUCCGCGGCCGAUUAGCUAGUUGGCGAGGUAAUGGCUCACCAAGGCAAUGAUCGGUAGCCGGACUGAGAGGUUGGCCGGCCACACUGGAACUGAGACACGGUCCAGACUCCUACGGGAGGCAGCAGUGGGGAAUCUUGCACAAUGGACGAAAGUCUGAUGCAGCAACGCCGCGUGGGGGAUGAAGCUUCUCGGAGUGUAAACCCCUUUCGACCCGGAAGAAUGCCCGCAAGGGUAUGACGGUACGGGUAUAAGAAGCCCCGGCUAACUACGUGCCAGCAGCCGCGGUAAUACGUAGGGGGCCAGCGUUGCUCGGAAUUACUGGGCGUAAAGGGUCCGUAGGCGGUGUAGCAAGUCGAUAGUGAAAUCUCUGCGCUUAACGCAGAGGCUGCUAACGAAACUGCUGUGCUAGAGUGUGAGAGAGGCGAGUGGAAUUACGGGUGUAGCGGU
rnacentral:rRNA from 1 species